rnacentral:rRNA from 1 species
AAAUUGAAGAGUUUGAUCAUGGCUCAGAUUGAACGCUGGCGGCAGGCCUAACACAUGCAAGUCGAGCGGUAGCACAGAGAGCUUGCUCUCGGGUGACGAGCGGCGGACGGGUGAGUAAUGUCUGGGAAACUGCCUGAUGGAGGGGGAUAACUACUGGAAACGGUAGCUAAUACCGCAUAACGUCGCAAGACCAAAGUGGGGGACCUUCGGGCCUCAUGCCAUCAGAUGUGCCCAGAUGGGAUUAGCUAGUAGGUGGGGUAAUGGCUCACCUAGGCGACGAUCCCUAGCUGGUCUGAGAGGAUGACCAGCCACACUGGAACUGAGACACGGUCCAGACUCCUACGGGAGGCAGCAGUGGGGAAUAUUGCACAAUGGGCGCAAGCCUGAUGCAGCCAUGCCGCGUGUAUGAAGAAGGCCUUCGGGUUGUAAAGUACUUUCAGUGAGGAGGAAGGCGUUAAGGUUAAUAACCUUGGCGAUUGACGUUACUCGCAGAAGAAGCACCGGCUAACUCCGUGCCAGCAGCCGCGGUAAUACGGAGGGUGCAAGCGUUAAUCGGAAUUACUGGGCGUAAAGCGCACGCAGGCGGUCUGUCAAGUCGGAUGUGAAAUCCCCGGGCUCAACCUGGGAACUGCAUUCGAAACUGGCAGGCUAGAGUCUUGUAGAGGGGGGUAGAAUUCCAGGUGUAGCGGUGAAAUGCGUAGAGAUCUGGAGGAAUACCGGUGGCGAAGGCGGCCCCCUGGACAAAGACUGACGCUCAGGUGCGAAAGCGUGGGGAGCAAACAGGAUUAGAUACCCUGGUAGUCCACGCCGUAAACGAUGUCGACUUGGAGGUUGUGCCCUUGAGGCGUGGCUUCCGGAGCUAACGCGUUAAGUCGACCGCCUGGGGAGUACGGCCGCAAGGUUAAAACUCAAAUGAAUUGACGGGGGCCCGCACAAGCGGUGGAGCAUGUGGUUUAAUUCGAUGCAACGCGAAGAACCUUACCUACUCUUGACAUCCAGAGAACUUAGCAGAGAUGCUUUGGUGCCUUCGGGAACUCUGAGACAGGUGCUGCAUGGCUGUCGUCAGCUCGUGUUGUGAAAUGUUGGGUUAAGUCCCGCAACGAGCGCAACCCUUAUCCUUUGUUGCCAGCGAUUCGGUCGGGAACUCAAAGGAGACUGCCAGUGAUAAACUGGAGGAAGGUGGGGAUGACGUCAAGUCAUCAUGGCCCUUACGAGUAGGGCUACACACGUGCUACAAUGGCAUAUACAAAGAGAAGCGACCUCGCGAGAGCAAGCGGACCUCAUAAAGUAUGUCGUAGUCCGGAUUGGAGUCUGCAACUCGACUCCAUGAAGUCGGAAUCGCUAGUAAUCGUAGAUCAGAAUGCUACGGUGAAUACGUUCCCGGGCCUUGUACACACCGCCCGUCACACCAUGGGAGUGGGUUGCAAAAGAAGUAGGUAGCUUAACCUUCGGGAGGGCGCUUACCACUUUGUGAUUCAUGACUGGGGUGAAGUCGUAACAAGGUAACCGUAGGGGAACCUGCGGUUGGAUCACCUCCUUA